rnacentral:lncRNA from 1 species
GCAGAAUACUUUUGGCCGGAUAUGGCCAGUUUAAAUGCUAAAGGGUUAAACACUGUAUUCAAUGCCUACUGAGGAGGCCAAAAGUCAGCAAUAUGUUGAAGUAUUGAAUCAAAAGGAUCUAAUUCUUUCAAUUUAAUCUCUUGUCGCCACAUAAACUCGCACAUAUAUGAGUCCAGCAGACCUCUGUGAGUUCCAUUUUCUCUUUUAUUUUUUUCCUUAGCACUCUUCCAAGGUCUUUCACUAUUUUGGGUGUGAGCUAUAUUAGUCGGAUCGACAAAGUGUAGAGAAUUAUUCACAAUGAGAUGUUGAAAAUGACCAGUAUUAAUUAUAUUUUCAUAUGUUGACCAUUCAGCACUUAUGAUGGUUGUACCUGGUCUUAUAUUAUUUUCUAUUAUAGGAAGAAGGGUUGUUGCAGACCUGUCAGGGACAGGAAACAUGAAACACUCUUUUGUUUUUUCGCAAAUACCUCCAAAAACCAACUGUCGGGGUGGUUGACGUCCGGCACAACUUUUUCUUUUAGUGAACAAACUUUCAUCAAUUUCAACAAUCAUGUUGGGUCCUCCAAUCACUUUGGGGUCAGACAAAAUGUGUGCAGCGCAAACUUCUCUCAGAUAAUUAUUCCAGUCAACAAUGCAACUGGCAUUCAUCUCGGGUUCACAAAAAUCGACACUUUCCAAGUCGUGUGCCCAACAAUAUAUGAAAACGGCUGCUUUAUGAAAAGAUAA